AGAAUCAACGCUGGCGGCGUGCCUAACACAUGCAAGUCGAACGCGAAAGGGACUUCGGUCCUGAGUAGAGUGGCGAACGGGUGAGUAACGCGUGGGUGACCUACCCGUCGAGUGGGGGAUAACGUUCCGAAAGGGACGCUAAUACCGCAUGACAUUUCGGGUUUGAAGACCUGGAAAUCAAAGCCGGGGACCGCAAGGCCUGGCGCUAGGAGGAGGGGCCCGCGUCUGAUUAGCUAGUUGGCGGGUAACGCCCACCAAGGCGACGAUCAGUA
rnacentral:rRNA from 1 species